GUGGGGAAUUUUGGACAAUGGGCGCAAGCCUGAUCCAGCCAUGCCGCGUGAGUGAAGAAGGCCUUCGGGUUGUAAAGCUCUUUCGGACGGGAAGAAAUGGCGCUCUCUAACAUAGGGUGUCGAUGACGGUACCGUAAGAAGAAGCACCGGCUAACUACGUGCCAGCAGCCGCGGUAAUACGUAGGGUGCGAGCGUUAAUCGGAAUUACUGGGCGUAAAGCGUGCGCAGGCGGUUUUGUAAGACAGAUGUGAAAUCCCCGGGCUUAACCUGGGAACUGCGUUUGUGACUGCAAGGCUAGAGUACGGCAGAGGGGGGUGGAAUUCCACGUGUAGCAGUGAAAUGCGUAGAGAUGUGGAGGAACACCGAUGGCGAAGGCAGCCCCCUGGGCCUGUACUGACGCUCAUGCACGAAAGCGUGGGGAGCAAACAGGAUUAGAUACCCUAGUAGUCC
rnacentral:rRNA from 1 species